rnacentral:rRNA from 1 species
CUGGCUCAGGACGAACGCUGGCGGCGUGCCUAACACAUGCAAGUCGAGCGAGGAGAUCCUUCGGGAUGAUCCUAGCGGCGGACGGGUGAGUAACACGUGGGCAACCUGCCUCAUAGAGAGGAAUAGCCUUCCGAAAGGGAGAUUAAUACCUCAUAACAUUGCAGUUUCGCAUGGAACAGCAAUUAAAGGAGCAAUCCGCUAUGAGAUGGGCCCGCGGCGCAUUAGCUAGUUGGUGAGGUAACGGCUCACCAAGGCGACGAUGCGUAGCCGACCUGAGAGGGUGAUCGGCCACAUUGGGACUGAGACACGGCCCAGACUCCUACGGGAGGCAGCAGUGGGGAAUAUUGCACAAUGGGGGAAACCCUGAUGCAGCAACGCCGCGUGAGUGAUGACGGCCUUCGGGUUGUAAAGCUCUGUCUUCAGGGACGAUAAUGACGGUACCUGAGGAGGAAGCCACGGCUAACUACGUGCCAGCAGCAGC